AUACGUCCUCGUUAGGUGAGGCUCCUAUAUAAACACAGGCCACUGCCCAGAAAUAUCGAAAGAUGCCCAUGGGUAGAACAGGGAUUGCCGGAUUAAGGCUUUUCAUAAAGUGGCUAAGAGAAAAUUUGUUCUCUUUACGUUAUAUAGUGCCAAAACUCGACUAGGGGGAAACGA
rnacentral:sRNA from 2 species